rnacentral:misc_RNA from 1 species
UUGCCGUGAUAUUCAUGACUCGUCUGAAAUGCCUGAGUGUACCCCGCUUUGCGGCGUAUUCGGUGUGAUACAUCUUCACCGGAGUUGAUCCCUUUGGGGUCGCGUCUGUAAUGAGUGUGGCUCUAUGCUUCGAACCGUCUCCCGGAGACAACCUCUGACAAUUUGACCUCAAAUCGGGUGGGACUACCCGCUGAACUUAA